rnacentral:rRNA from 1 species
UACGAAGGGGGCUAGCGUUGCUCGGAAUCACUGGGCGUAAAGCGCACGUAGGCGGCUUUUUAAGUCAGAGGUGAAAUCCUGGAGCUCAACUCCAGAACUGCCUUUGAUACUGAGAGGCUUGAGUCCGGGAGAGGUGAGUGGAACUGCGAGUGUAGAGGUGAAAUUCGUAGAUAUUCGCAAGAACACCAGUGGCGAAGGCGGCUCACUGGCCCGAUACUGACGCUGAGGCGCGAAAGCGUGGGGAGCAACAGG